rnacentral:rRNA from 1 species
AACGAACGCUGGCGGCAUGCCUAACACAUGCAAGUCGAACGAGAACUUCGGGUCUUGUCGCGCAUGGGUGCGUAACGCGUGGGAACCUGCCCUUAGGUUCGGAAUAACUCUCCGAAAGGGAUGCUAAUACCGGAUAAGGUCUACGUACCAAUAAUUUAUCGCCCUUGGUUGGGCACGCGUCGGAUUAGCUAGUUGGUAGGGUAAUGGAUUACAAAGGCAAGGAUGCGUAGCUGGGCUGAGAGGGUGAUCACCCACACUGGAACUGAGACACGGUCCAGACUCCUACGGGAGGCAGCAGUAGGGAAUCUUCCGCAAUGGGCGAAAGCUUGACGGAGCAACGCCGCGUGAGUGAUGAAGGUCUUCGGAUCGUAAAACUCUGUUAUUAGGGAAGAACAAAUGUGUAAGUAACUAUGCACGUCUUGACGGUACCUAAUCAGAAAGCCACGGCUAACUACGUG